rnacentral:rRNA from 1 species
CUACGGGAGGCAGCAGUGGGGAAUAUUGCACAAUGGACGAAAGUCUGAUGCAGCAACGCCGCGUGGAGGAUGACACAUUUCGGUGCGUAAACUCCUUUUAUAGGUCAAGAUAAUGACGGUAGCCUAUGAAUAAGCGCCGGCUAACUCCGUGCCAGCAGCCGCGGUAAUACGGAGGGCGCAAGCGUUACUCGGAAUCACUGGGCGUAAAGAGCGUGUAGGCGGGUUAAUAAGUCAGAAGUGAAAUCCAAUGGCUCAACCAUUGAACUGCCUUUGAAACUGUUAACCUAGAGUAUGGGAGAGGUAGAUGGAAUUUCUGGUGUAGGGGUAAAAUCCGUAGAGAUCAGAAGGAAUACCGAUUGCGAAGGCGAUCUACUGGAACAUUACUGACGCUGAGACGCGAAAGCGUGGGGAGCAAACAGGAUUAGAUACCCCGGUAGUC